AGCUCCAAUAGCGUAUAUUAUUGAUGUUGCAGUUGAAACGUUCGUAGUCGAACUUUGUCUGCUCAAGCGCUGUGCCAUCAAUGAUGCUGCAGUGUUCUCAGCAGAGAAUGUGCAAAAAGCAACAUGCGUUCCGUAUGUUUGUUUUCUGCACCAUACUUUGAGUGAAUCGGCGUGUUCCACGCAGGCGUCUGCCUUGAACGAUUUACCAUAGCAUAACAAGAGUAUGAGAAUGUUUUCUUGCUUGUUCGAAAACAUUUUCGAUACUGAAAGGAACGGUUGAGGCCAUUCGUACUCACGCGCUAGAGGUGAAAUUCUUUGAUUGCGUGAAGACGAACCAUUGCGAAAGCAUCUGGCAAGGACGUUUCCU
rnacentral:rRNA from 1 species